rnacentral:rRNA from 1 species
UACAGAGGGUGCAAGCGUUAAUCGGAAUUACUGGGCGUAAAGCGCGCGUAGGUGGUUCGUUAAGUUGGAUGUGAAAUCCCCGGGCUCAACCUGGGAACUGCAUCCAAAACUGGCGAGCUAGAGUAUGGUAGAGGGUGGUGGAAUUUCCUGUGUAGCGGUGAAAUGCGUAGAUAUAGGAAGGAACACCAGUGGCGAAGGCGACCACCUGGACUGAUACUGACACUGAGGUGCGAAAGCGUGGGGAGCGAACAGG